UACGUAGGGGGCAAGCGUUGUCCGGAAUCAUUGGGCGUAAAGAGCGUGUAGGUUGUCCGAUAAGUCUGCUGUGAAAGUCCAGGGCUCAACCCUGGGAAUGGCAAUGGAUACUGGCGAGCUAGAGUGUGUCAGAGGAUGGUGGAAUUCCCGGUGUAGCGGUGAAAUGCGUAGAGAUCGGGAGGAACAUCAGUGGCGAAGGCGGCCAUCUGGGACAACACUGACGCUGAGGCACGAAAGCGUGGGGAGCAAACAGG
rnacentral:rRNA from 1 species